rnacentral:sRNA from 1 species
GCCGGGCAUGGUGGCGCGUGCCUGUGAUCCCAACUACUUGGGAGGUUGAGAUAGGAGAAUCACUUGAACCUGGGAGGCAGAGGUUGCAAUGAGCCAAGAUUGCACCAUUGCACUCCAGCCUGGGCAAUAAGAGCAAAACUUCAUCUCAAAGAAAAAAAAAGAAAAUUGAGGCUGCAGUGAGUUGUGAUUGUGUCACUGCAUUCCAGCCUAGGUGACAGAGGGAGACCUUGUCUCA